UACGUAGGGUCCAAGCGUUAUCCGGAUUCACUGGGUUUAAAGGGUGCGUAGGCGGACAGGUAAGUCAGUGGUGAAAUCUCUGGGCUUAACCCAGAAACUGCCGUUGAUACUAUUUGUCUUGAAUAUCCUGGAGGUAGGCGGAAUAUGUCAUGUAGCGGUGAAAUGCUUAGAUAUGACAUAGAACACCGAUAGCGAAGGCAGCUUACUACAGGAUGAUUGACGCUGAGGCACGAAAGCGUGGGGAGCAAACAGG
rnacentral:rRNA from 1 species